UACAGAGGGUGCGAGCGUUAAUCGGAAUUACUGGGCGUACAGCGUGCGUAGACGGCUAUCUAAGUCGGGUGUGAAAGCCCCGGGCUCAACCUGGGAAUUGCAUUCGAGACUGAAUAGCUAGGGUACGGUAGAGGGAAGCGGAAUUUCCGGUGUAGCGGUGAAAUGCGUAGAUAUCGGAAGGAACAUCAGUGGCGAAAGCGGCUUCCUGGACCAGUACCGACGUUCAGGCACGAAAGCGUGGGGAGCAAACAGG
rnacentral:rRNA from 1 species